GACGAACGCUGGCGGCGUGCUUAACACAUGCAAGUCGAACGGGUCUGCCCUGUUUUUUGCGGGGUGGGUCAGUGGCGAACGGGUGAGUAACACGUGAGUAACCUGCCCCUCACUUCUGGAUAACCGCUUGAAAGGGUGGCUAAUACGGGGUGUUCUGGCUGUGCCGCAUGGUGUGGCUGGGAAAGAUUCACUUUUGUGGUGUUUUGGUGGGGGAUGGGCUCGCGGCCUAUCAGCUUGUUGGUGGGGUGAUGGCCUGCCAAGGCGUUGGCGGGUGGCCGGCUGGGAGGGGUGGGGGGCUCACUGGGGAUGAGGUGCCGGCCCGGAUCCCGUGGGGGGGAGGCGGGGGGGGUAUUGCACAAUGGGCGGAAGCCUGAUGCAGCGACGUCGCGUGAGGGAUGGAGGCCUUCGGGUUGUGAACCUCUUUCGCCGGUGAAGAAGGUCCUGCUCUUUGUGGGGGGGUUGACGGUAGCCGGGUUAUGAAGCGCCGGCUAACUACGUG
rnacentral:rRNA from 1 species